rnacentral:rRNA from 1 species
CCUACGGGAGGCAGCAGUGAGGAAUAUUGGUCAAUGGGCGGAAGCCUGAACCAGCCAAGUCGCGUGAGGGAUUAAGGCCCUGCGGGUCGUAAACCUCUUUUGCCGGGGAGCAGUGGUCCGGACGUGUCCGGGCCGGGAGAGUACCCGGAGAAAAAGCAUCGGCUAACUCCGUGCCAGCAGCCGCGGUAAUACGGAGGAUGCGAGCGUUAUCCGGAUUUAUUGGGUUUAAGGGGUUCGAAGGCGGGCAUUUAAGCCGGCGGUCAAAUGUCGGGGCGCAACCCCGGCCUGCCGUCGGAACUGGGUGCCUUGAGUGGGCGAGAAGUGUGCGGAAUGCGUGGUGUAGCGGUGAAAUGCAUAGAUAUCACGCAGAACCCCGAUUGCGAAGGCAGCAUACCGGCGCCCUACUGACGCUGAGGCACGAAAGUGCGGGUAUCGAACAGGAUUAGAUACCCGAGUAGUC